UAAAGAUAAAACAUAAUCUGAAUGCUUUAAGUAUUGUAAUCACGUGAUUCGGUUUUAGUUUAUGGAGCUGAAGCACGUUUAGAAACUUUAUGUUUCGGUGGGCGUCGUUGAUGUGGACCCAUUCUUUAGUCGUUCGUGUCUUUUGUUACCCAGUAAUCAGACUUUUUCGUGGAAGAUCUACUCUAAACUGGCUGAGACUACCCCUAUGUUCUGUUGAAGAACAAACCUGUUUAUUUGUUUCUUGUCAAUACAGCACAUUACUUCAGAGUAACCAAAGAAGUCAUAGCUUAUCAAAUCUACAGGGGACCGGUAAAGCUUUAUUUAAGUCAGAUUUGUCAUUCAAUACUUUCAGGUCUUUUUCCAAGAAUAUCUUACAAAAACAUUUUUUGCCUAGGCUAAAUUGUAAGGUUAACUUCUUUACCAACAUUGUCAGUGGUCGUACUACUAUGAGUAUAGAAGGUGUGAGGAUUGCUUGGGACUUAACUAUUUCUCCGAAUGAAUUGUUGACAAAAACCGAGUUACUUAUUUCUCAAUGUCGGAAAAAAUAUGAUGAAGUUGGCAACUUAAAAGAAGAGGAUGUGAAUUUUCAAUCUGUAUUAAAGGUGAUAGCAGAUGUAGAGUGUGAAUAUUUGUCAAAUCGCUACCUUUUUGACUUUCCACAACAAGUAUCAUCUGACAAAGCACUUAGGGAUGCCAGUACUGAAGCAGACAAAAAACUUCAAGCAUUUGAUGUUGAAAUAAGCAUGAGACAGGACAUAUUUGAUAAACUUCUGAUUCUGGAUAAGAAAACAGAAGAUUUGAAACCAGAAUAUAAACGAUAUUUAGAAAGACUAAUCAAAAUGGGAAAGAGAAAUGGGCUCCACUUGUCCAAAGAUAUACAAGAAAAGAUCAAAGAAUUCAAAAACAAGAUGAAUGAGCUUUCAAUUCAGUUUAAUAAAAACCUAAAUGAAGAAAAUACAUUUCUAGAAUUCACAGAGAAAGAAUUGGAGGGCUUACCAGAUGAUUUUAUUGAUAGUCUGGAAAAGAUGGACAAUGAAAAGCGGAAAAUCACCUUGAAAUAUCCACACUACUUUCCUACGAUGAGAAAAGCAAAAAAUCCUGAAACAAGAAGAAAAAUGGAACAUGCUUUCAACUCACAGUGUAUUUCAGAGAAUGUUCCAAUUCUUGAGGAACUAGUCAUGCUACGACAGAAGCAAGCUGAUCUCCUUGGAUUUCCAACACAUGCUGCUUACGUUACUGAGUUAAGAAUGGCCAAGACAGCUGAAAAUGUGUGCAACUUCCUCAAAGAACUAGCAACUAAAUUGAAAGUUUUGUGGGACAAUGAGAAAAAAUACCUUUUGGAGCUAAAGAAACUUGAAUGCAAAGAACUUGGAUUUGAGUUUGAUGAGAAACUGAAUUUUUGGGACCUGCAGUACUACACAACAAAAAUUGAAGAAAUAAAAUACUCAGUUGACCAGGACAAAUUAAGAGAAUAUUUUCCUCUUCCAAUUGUGACAAAAGGUUUACUGGAUAUAUAUCAGGAGCUGCUGAGUCUAAAGUUCUCAUUGGUGGAGAAUGCAAAAGUGUGGCACCCUGAUGUACAGAUGUUCAGUGUGUCAGAUUCUAAGUCAAAUCAGCUGUUGGGCUACUUUUUCCUUGAUCUUUUUCCACGAGAAGGAAAAUAUGGACAUGCUGCAAUGUUUGAGCUUCAGCCUGGGUGUUUGCUACCAGAUGGUUCAAGACAAAUAUCAGUAGCUGCUAUGGUAGCUAAUUUCACUAAGCCCACUGCAAAUAAGCCAUCUCUGUUAGAUCAUAAUGAGGUUGUGACAUUUUUCCAUGAAUUUGGACAUGUUAUGCAUCAAAUUUGUGCACAAGCAAACCUUGCACAUUUCAAUGGGACAAAUGUGGAAAGAGACUUUGUAGAAGCUCCUUCACAAAUGUUGGAAAACUGGUGUUGGGAGCCAGUUCCUCUACGGCGCAUGUCAUCUCAUUAUCGAGAUGAAACUCCACUGCCUGACACUAUGCUAAAAUCCCUAAUCAACUCUAGGCUGGCCAAUGCUGGUUAUCGUAAUUUGAGACAGAUUUUCCUUGGUCUUUUUGAUCAUACAAUUCAUACAAAACCUAAGGUUGACACAAGAGAAAUCCUAGAAGAAAUCCACUUGAACCUACUAGGGAUUAACUUAUCACCAAAUACUAACUUUGCAGCACAUUUUGGUCAUUUAGCUGGUGGUUAUGAUGCUCAGUAUUAUGGUUACAUGUGGAGUGAAGUGUUCAGCAUGGAUAUGUUUUACUCUCGUUUCAAAAAAGAAGGUGUAAUGAACCCAGAUACUGGUAGAGACUACAGAGAGAAAAUUCUCCAACCUGGAGGGACACAAGAUGGAGCAGAAAUGCUGCACAACUUCCUAGGAAGAGAUCCCAACCAGCAAGCUUUCCUUGUCAGUAAAGGUAUUGAUGUGUAACAGGAAAUCAUAAGUUGGAUGUCUCUGAAUUAUUAGUGAUGACACAAAUUGUUACUCCUCAUGUAUGGAAUUGGAAUCCUUGUACUUGACAGUCUGGUACGAGAUCUCAACUGAAUAAAGAACAGGAUCUGGAAGAAUAAGCAGUUGAAAGAACUUGGUGAAAAUUGCAUUCCAGUAUAUUAAAAAUUCUGAACAGGUACAUAAACAAUGUGUUUCAUUAUAUAAUAAAGGUUGUGCAUUUUGUGUUUCA